CAGAAUGUGAUUAAAUUUUUGUGUCUUUUCUGAAAUGGGUUUUUAGUUAUUAAAAGAUUGAAUUUAAGACACCCAUUUCAGAAUUUUAAUGGAGUUUUGAUUCAUCUCUAGAAUACCCAUUCCAGAACUUGUUUGUUUUAGAGGUUUUCUUUUAGAGUUGGAAAAGCGCCAUUUGCUGGGAAAAACCCAAUCCCAAGAGAUUGAAGAAGGAGACAUAACCCAAACUCAAUUUGGGAUUUCUUGUUAAUUUCUUCGUAAACCCAGAGGAAGUUUAAGAGAAGAGUGACAGAGAGAAAAGUGAUGAAUUUUGGAGCAUUGAGCAUGGAAGAGAAGAAAGAAACUGAAAGAGAGGAGUUAGAAGAAGAAGAAGGACACGGGCAACAAGAACAUGAUUUGUCAAGAAAAAUUCCACCAUGGAAGAAACAAAUUACAGUGAGAGGACUAAUUGCAAGUUUUAUAAUUGGGAUAAUUUACACUGUGAUAGUGACAAAGCUUAAUCUCACAACAGGACUUGUUCCCAAUCUUAAUGUCUCUGCUGCUCUUCUGGCAUAUGUUUUCAUUAAGUCAUGGACUAAGAGGGGGUUAGUCCUCAAGUGAUUUUGGGGGAGUUGAGUGUAUUUUAAAUCUCAGGAAUUUUAAGAGAGUGUAGGGAGUUUGAGAGAGUUUGGUGUUUUUGAGUUCAGGGAGUUUGGGGGAGUGUAGGGAGUUUGAGAGAGUUUAUUAGAGGGAGUUUGGGGGAGUUUGAGAGAGUUCACUCCUAACUCAUUCUCUUUUAAGAAACAAUAAAAGGGAGCUGAGCUCAAUUUCAGUG